GAUGAACGCUGGCGGCGUGCCUAAUACAUGCAAGUCGAGUGAACAGACGAGGAGCUUGCUCCUCUGACGUUAGCGGCGGACGGGUGAGUAACACGUGGAUAACCUACCUAUAAGACUGGGAUAACUUCGGGAAACCGGAGCUAAUACCGGAUAAUAUAUUGAACCGCAUGGUUCAAUAGUGAAAGACGGUUUUGCUGUCACUUAUAGAUGGAUCCGCGCCGCAUUAGCUAGUUGGUAAGGUAACGGCUUACCAAGGCAACGAUGCGUAGCCGACCUGAGAGGGUGAUCGGCCACACUGGAACUGAGACACGGUCCAGACUCCUACGGGAGGCAGCAGUAGGGAAUCUUCCGCAAUGGGCGAAAGCUUGACGGAGCAACGCCGCGUGAGUGAUGAAGGUCUUCGGAUCGUAAAACUCUGUUAUUAGGGAAGAACAAAUGUGUAAGUAACUAUGCACGUCUUGACGGUACCUAAUCAGAAAGCCACGGCUAACUACGUG
rnacentral:rRNA from 1 species